GGUAUGACGCUCAUCUGACUGUCUCCAUCUUCCCAACAUCUCAGGAGCAACUGAAUUAUGGAUCCGCCUCUGUCGUGUGCUUCCUGAACAAAUUCUACCCCAACGAUUACAAAGUCCAGUGGAAGGUAGACAAUGUUGUUAAAGAGGUUGACGUAGUGGAAAGUUAUACAGAGCAGGACAGCACAGACAGCACCUGCAGCCUCAGCAGCACCCUGACGAUGACAAGUGCAGAGAAUAAAAGCAAUAAUGUCUAUACCUGCGAGGCCACACAUGACAUCCUGAGCUCACCUGUGGUCAAGAGCUUCAACAAGCAAGAGUGUUAG